CAGAACGAACGCUGGCGGCGCGCCUAAUACAUGCAAGUCGAGCGAGAAGGUGUAGCAAUACACCUGUAAAGCGGCGAACGGGUGAGGAAUGCAUGGGUAACCUACCCUCGAGUGGGGAAUAACUAGCCGAAAGGUUAGCUAAUACCGCAUACGUUUCCGGAACUUCGGUUUCGGAAAGAAAGCAAUACCGUGGGUAUUGCGCUCCUGGAUGGGCUCAUGUCCUAUCAGCUUGUUGGUGAGGUAACGGCUCACCAAGGCUUCGACGGGUAGCUGGUCUGAGAGGACGAUCAGCCACACUGGCACUGCGACACGGGCCAGACUCCUACGGGAGGCAGCAGUAAGGAAUAUUGCGCAAUGGACGAAAGUCUGACGCAGCGACGCCGCGUGGGGGAUGAAGGUCUUCGGAUUGUAAACCCCUUUCGGGAGGGAAGAUGGAGUGGGUAACCACUUGGACGGUACCUCCAGAAGCAGCCACGGCUAACUUUGUG
rnacentral:rRNA from 1 species